CGGGUUGCAGCAGUGGGGAAUUUUGGACAAUGGGGGCAACCCUGAUCCAGCAAUGCCGCGUGAGUGAAGAAGGCCUUCGGGUUGUAAAGCUCUUUUGUCAGGGAAGAAACAGCAGCUCUAACACAGCUGUGAAUGACGGUACCUGAAGAAUAAGCACCGGCUAACUACGUGCCAGCAGCCGCGGUAAUACGUAGGGUGCAAGCGUUAAUCGGAAUUACUGGGCGUAAAGCGUGCGCAGGCGGUUAUACAAGACAGGCGUGAAAUCCCCGGGCUCAACCUGGGAAUUGCGUCUGUGACUGUAUAGCUAGAGUGUGUCAGAGGGGGGUAGAAUUCCACGUGUAGCAGUGAAAUGCGUAGAUAUGUGGAGGAAUACCAAUGGCGAAGGCAGCCCCCUGGGAUAACACUGACGCUCAUGCACGAAAGCGUGGGGAGCAAACAGGAUUAGAUACCCCCGU
rnacentral:rRNA from 1 species